UACAGAGGUGGCAAGCGUUGUUCGGAAUUACUGGGCGUAAAGGGCGCGUAGGCGGUCCCGUCAGUCCCUUGUGAAAUCCCCCGGCUCAACUGGGGAACUGCAAGGGAUACAGCGGGGCUUGAGUUCGGGAGAGGGAAGCGGAAUUCCGGGUGUAGCGGUGAAAUGCGUAGAUAUCCGGAGGAACACCGGUGGCGAAGGCGGCUUCCUGGACCGUAACUGACGCUGAGACACGAAAGCGUGGGUAGCAAACAGG
rnacentral:rRNA from 1 species